ensembl:lncRNA
CAUGCUACUCCAGAAUUUAUGGUAAAUUGCCUGGAUGCUAGGAGCUUUAUUAUUAUUAUUUAUUUACAUACUCCAGAAGUUCUAAAUGUGCCCAUUUAUUACAUUUUUACGGUAGGCAUGCUACUCCAGAAUUUAUGGUAAAUUGCCUGGAUGCUAGGAGCUUUAUUAUUAUUAUUUAUUUACAUACUCCAGAAGUUCUAAAUGUGCCCAUUUAUUACAGUUUUUACGGUAGGCAUGCUACUCCAGAAUUUAUGGUAAAUUGCCUGGAUGUUAGGGGUUUUUUAUUAUUCAUUUACAUACUCCAGAAGUUCUAAAUGCGCCCAUUUAUUACAGUUUUUACGGUAGGCAUGCUACUCCAGAAUUUAUGGUAAAUUUCCUGGAUGCUAGGAGCUUUCUUAUUAUUUAUUUACAUAUACAAGAAGUUCUAAAUGUGCCCAUUUAUUACAGUUUUUACGGUAUUCAUGCUACUCCAAAAGUUUAUCCAUUUUAUUUGGGGUUUGUCUAUAGCCAUGCUGCUCUACAGAUUUUGGUCAAUUCCAUAUUCGUUUCGUUUUCAGCAGGCGCGCUGCUCCAGAAGUUACGGUAGUGUUCCCUGUGUAUUAGUGCUUUUAUGCUAGGCAUGCUACUCUAAAACUUAUAAUAGUUACAGUAGGUUGUUCGUGUUGUUUGUGGUUUUAGAAUACUAAAAUAAUAAACUGACCAUUUUAUUUAUUAGACUUUGUUUAAUAAUAAGCCUCACAGUCCGUAAGAUUUAGUAGUUUGCCCAUCUAUUAUUGCUUUCAAGGUAGACGUUCUACUCUAGACGUUUUAUAUAUAUAUAUACAUAUAAACAGACAUGCUCCUCCACAGGUUAUGGUAAAAUACUUAUUUAUUAAAGAUUUCUUUUUAAACAAUAGCCAGGAGGUACCCCAGAAGCUUUUACGGUAAUUUGCUCGGUUAUCAGCGCUUUAAUGGUAGACAUGCUGCUCCAGACCUCGUGCUGGUCUGUUGUUUAUAUUUGUGGUUUUAAAUGAGAUACUCUUCUCCAUGUAACGGUAAAUCGCAUAUUCAUUAGGAUUUUUAGGCAUGAUAGUGCGGACGUUACAGUAGUUUGGUUUUGUUUUUAUUUGUGCUUUUAUAGUAGCCAUGCUAAACAUGAACGUACGGUAGUUUGCACAGUUUAAUGGUUGAUAUGAAGCACAAGUAGAUGCAGAUAUAUUGCUGCUUUCUGGUAGAUGCGCUGCUCCAGAAUUGACAGUAAUUGAAGAUAAUUGUGGACAUUUUCACAGCAUCCCAUGCUGCUCCGGUAAUUACAGCAGUUAUACGUUCUCCCAGUUACGGGAAGAUGCAUACCUGUGACUGAGAUUGGUACAACAGGAUCGUUUCCAUAUUUUACUGUGAUGUCUUCAACGUCACACCCAGCCCUAUUACACAGUCCUUCCCAUGCUCCCUCUGAAUACUGCUGUAUCGCUCCUCUAACCAAAACACCAGAGAGCUGACGGCAAUAUUUUUCUUCUCCGAGCUUCCCCCGAAAGCCGUCUGUCUCUCUGACUGGCCCAAUUCUUCACCAAGAUAUUAAUAUGAUUUUCAAAAUGUUACCCUGUCCUCAUUAGGAGAAUUACCGGCUGGUGAAAGAUCACUCGUUUAAGUGGGUUAUAAAGCUUCUCUUAUGCUGCUCCACGUCCGGCCGCACUCCGGCUUUUAUAAGGCCUAAUUCAUGACCCGGAACGUAAUUUGGUCCCAAUGAGAAAAACCAGUACGGAGCUAAACGCAUUUCCGAGUCGAAACAAGCGCGUUUAAUCUUCCCGGAAGAUUAAACGGGAGAUUCCCGGAGGAUUAAACGGGAAGCCUCCUGCUCUUUGAAAAGGCAUGGAGUCAUUCACUGACCUAGAUAUUAUUAUCUUCGGCAUAUAAGCACAUUGUACUUGAUUUUUGCACUCGGAGAAAGAGAAACUGUGAGAGCGAGAUAGUGAAAGUGUGUUUAUUCCUACACACAUAGCUCCGACCUCCUACAGCCGGCGAGACAGCCGCACCAUUCAUGCGAACGGCGUGCCACGACGGACCCACGGCAGACCUGUUCGAGCGGGGUCUGGCGCCAAACCCGUCCAUUCUCAGCACGGACAUUACUCCAAGAGACUUCGAUUCGCCAGGUCAGCAGCUUCCCCAAGUGACUCCUUUGCGCAAGAGGACACCGAGGACAUCGCAUUGCAUCCUUUCUGAAAAUUGCUCAUGGAAAUAGUGGAGGGAAAAAAAAAAAACAAUCAGGAAGACAGAUCUGACCAUGCCAAGUCAUUAAUUGACACGCUAAUUAGCUCAGCUAGUGUCCUCUCCACUUGGGGCCAGGCCUUGAUGUUCCCCCGAGGCAUCCCUGAAGCCUGCGCUGAAUAACUGAAUGUCUUCCUGCUGAUGUGGGGGGAAAAAAACCAGCACUUCCUCUGAGGAAAACGCAACAGGAUGUCGGAGAUGCUCCGUGGGGACCCCUGCCACGACGACCUCAUCUGCGGCAGCAGCCGUCAGUUCAGAGAGUAUUAACAAAGGAGCGUCUAUAACGUAGACGGUCGAGGAAAAGACGUCUGCUAUCCAAAGGCAAAACCAUUUAUAUCUGACGGGGGUGCGGUGGGUGUGGGGCUGUCAUAUGGUCAUUUCCCACCCCUAACUAAAGCUGGAGGGGCAACCCUGGAGAAACCAGGAAUGCUCAUGUUAACACUUUCGCUGGAGGAAAAGAGCCCAUUGUUUCGUGCGCUCUCCACCAGACUCGACAGGAAGUCACAGUAAUUAUGUAGGCUUAUGUACAGACUGUAAGUCCCAGGCAAAAAGUGCAAUAAUGACGGCUAAGUUUCAGUUCAAAUCGGAGCCCCUUCCCAGACGAGUGGGAUAUUAUAAGCUUCGAGGCCAAAAGUUUGUAGACACCUCGCCGUCAUAAUCGUAUGCGCCCGUUGAACAUCUCAUUAAAGCUCCACUCUUCUGGGAAGGCUUUCCGCUAGAUUUUGGAGCGUGGCUGUGGGGAUUAGUGUCUAUACAUUCAAAGUCAUUCAGACAAAGAAAAAGUCAUCAGAGUCAGUUCUGCGGUGACGGGUCUGGAGGAGAACCGCAAACGGACGUGAUCAUCAGGUGUAUAGUGUAUAUUAAGAAAUAGCAAAUCCACAUUGUGGUGCUUGGCGAAUUCUUUGUAUGUUUAUGUAGCUCUACUUAAGAGAUCAGAGCGCUACAAAGGUUCAUAAUCAAGCCUGUCAGUAGCAUCCAGGGAUCAGAGCCAGAUGUGUUGACGUGUGGAAAGUAAACUGUGGUGGAUCUGAAGGAAUGGGUUCUGAAUGAGUUCUGGAAUUUCUCAUUGUAAAUACACCGUGUUUACAUGCAGAGCCAGAACGGAGCGUACGCGGGGAUUUGCCGACGAAUCGACGGGUUAAUCAUGCAUAAAUGGAGCAUUUUGUUCGAAAUUGAAAAUUUUUUUUUUUUUAAAAAUGCGUUUCGCCUCACACCAAUAAAAAACAGAUGUUGGCGAAAACAAAAUAUUAAAAAGGGAGCUUUCACAAUGUGUAAUCCCCUCAUUUAUCUUCAGCUGACUGCUAGGACAGUGAAGAUCAUCUCUGGCCUUCUCACCCCUUCAAUCUUAUUUAUAUAACAACAGUCAGGCGGCUAUGGUUACGUUACAGACAGACCGAGCCAGAAAAGCCAGUAGAACAUAAAGGAAGCUAUACCGUAAACAAUAUACAUGCUAACCGUCCCUCAUCCUAUUAGCAUGCGUCUAUUAGCAUGACACAAACCAGGCUGAAACUACUGCUUAAUGAAAUGUCCUGUUUUCCAUCACAUAACAGUACUUCGGCAAAAAAAAAAAAAACAAACCCCAGAGCAGUUCAUGAGAAUCGUGUCGAAGCUGAAAUCGUGCACCGCUGCACUCGCAUAUCGCGUUUCCACAGCCGGAGAGAAGUGACACAGGACAGUCUCGAGCGUGACCUCCAGCUGAUUUCCUUUAAAGAAUCCGCGCUGUUGAUGUGCAGACGUCAUGUUCGUUUCCCCCACACCCUCACCCACAC